rnacentral:rRNA from 1 species
UGUGGUCAAGUUUUUAAGAGCACACGGUGGAUGCCUUGGCAUUAGGAGCCGAAGAAGGACGUAGGAAUCUGCGAUAAGCCUGGGGGAGUCGAUAACCGGACUGUGAUCCCAGGGUGUCCGAAUGGGGAAACCCCGCCAGGAGCGCGAGUUACCUGGUGACCCGCAUCUGAACACAUAGGGUGCGUGGAGGGAACGCGGGGAAGUGAAACAUCUCAGUACCCGCAGGAAGAGAAAACAAUAGUGAUUCCGUUAGUAGUGGCGAGCGAACGCGGAUCAGGCUAAACCGUUCCAUGUGUGAUAGCCGGCGGGCGUUGCAUGGUCGGGGUUGUGGGACAUUACGUGUCAGUUCUGCCGGGCUGACGGGGUGUGGGUGUGCGUAUAGGUGAACGGUCUUGAAAGGCCGGCCAGAGAGGGUGUUAGUCCCGUAACUGUAAUGCGUUGCACCGCCUUGUUGAUGUAUCCCAAGUAGUACGGGGCCCGAGAAAUCCCGUGCGAAUCUGUCAGGACCACCUGAUAAGCCUAAAUACUCCCUAAUGACCGAUAGCGGACCAGUACCGUGAGGGAAAGGUGAAAAGUACCCCGGGAGGGGAGUGAAACAGUACCUGAAACCGUGUGCUUACAAUCCGUCGGAGCAACCUUGUAGUUGUGACGGCGUGCCUUUUGAAGAAUGAGCCUGCGAGUUAGUGUUACGUCGCGAGGUUAACCCGUGUGGGGCAGCCGUAGCGAAAGCGAGUCUGAAUAGGGCGUUUGAGUGGCGUGAUCUAGACCCGAAGCGAAGUGAUCUACCCAUGGCCAGGUUGAAGCGACGGUAAGACGUCGUGGAGGACCGAACCCACUUCAGUUGAAAAUGGAGGGGAUGAGCUGUGGGUAGGGGUGAAAGGCCAAUCAAACUUCGUGAUAGCUGGUUCUCCCCGAAAUGCAUUUAGGUGCAGCGUUGCGUGUUUCUUACCGGAGGUAGAGCUACUGGAUGGCUAAUGGGCCCUACAAGGUUACUGACGUCAGCCAAACUCCGAAUGCCGGUAAGUGAGAGCGCAGCAGUGAGACUGUGGGGGAUAAGCUUCAUAGUCGAGAGGGAAACAGCCCAGACCACCAACUAAGGCCCCUAAGCGUGUGCUAAGUGGGAAAGGAUGUGGAGUUGCGAAGACAACCAGGAGGUUGGCUUAGAAGCAGCCAUCCUUAAAAGAGUGCGUAAUAGCUCACUGGUCAAGUGAUUCCGCGCCGACAAUGUAGCGGGGCUCAAGUACACCGCCGAAGUUGUGGCAUUCAAAUAUUAGCUAAGCCCUUGUGGUUCAGGCGUUUGGAUGGGUAGGGGAGCGUCGUGUGGGCAGUGAAGUCGCGGUGGAAACCAGCGGUGGAGCCUACACGAGUGAGAAUGCAGGCAUGAGUAGCGAAAGACGGGUGAGAAACCCGUCCGCCGAAUGAUCAAGGGUUCCAGGGUCAAGCUAAUCUGCCCUGGGUAAGUCGGGACCUAAGGCGAGGCCGACAGGCGUAGUCGAUGGACAACGGGUUGAUAUUCCCGUACCGGCGAAAAACCGCCCAUGUUGAACAGGGGAUACUAACUGCCCGAGACCUGCCCGAUCACCCUUGUGGUGUGAGGGUUUUGGUGGAGCGCAGGACCUGAUCCUGGGAGGCAAGCGUAUUAACA